AUUGAACGCUGGCGGCAGGCCUAACACAUGCAAGUCGAGCGAGCGGCGGACGGGUGAGUAAUGUAUGGGGACUGCCCGCUAGAGGGGGAUAACUACUGGAAAAGGUAGCUAAUACCGCAUACUAUCGGAUAACCCAUAUGGGAUUAGCUAGUGGGUGAGGUAAUGGCUCACCUAGGCGACGAUCCCUAGCUGGUCUGAGAGUAUGAUCAGCAACACUGGAACUGGGACACGGCCCAGACUCCUACGGAGGCAGCAGUGGGGAAUAUUGCACAAGGGGCGCAAGCCGGAUGCAGCAAGGCGGCGUGUAUGAAGAAGGCUCUAGGGUUGUAAAGUACUUUCAGUCGGGAGGCGUUAACGACAGAAGAAGCACCGGCUAACUCCGUGCCAGCAGCCGCGGUAAUUC
rnacentral:rRNA from 1 species